UACAUUUCACUUAAAAAUGUUUCCUGACAUUCAGCCUAAAAUUUUUCCUUUCUUCAUUUUAUCCCACUAAAUCCUAGUUAUUCCUCAUUUCCCCACCCUAAAUAAACACUUUCCCUCAAAUCUGUUUACAGCUAGCUAUUCUUUUCUCCUUUCUCAGCAGAGAGAACUGAUUUAUUCAUAUUUUCAGACUGAGUGACAGGAGGAAUGAGCAAAUAUCAAGAGAGGGAUACAAAAUGCAAAGAGGAAAUACAAAAAAAAAUCAAUGAAAUCAAAAGAACAGAAACCUUAGAAAGAGAACUGUAUCCUAACCUAGGGACAAAACAGAAAAACAAACUAUGAGCUAGGAAACGUAGCAAGGUGAACAGGAAAUAAAAUAAACUCAAUGUCAGGGAAUAAAGAUACAGUGGAGAGGUUGGGGCUGAGAGAACACAGUGGAGAGGCUGGGGCUGAGAGAACACAGUGACAACAGAUGGAGAAAAUACUGCUUCCUCCUAUUUGGCCAUUUACAUCUUGAUUUUUCAUUUCGUAAGGAGGAAAAAAGCAGUAGAAGAGACAGAGAUGAGUGUCUUGCAGAUGAGGAAGAACCCUGUUGUGACACUCCCUGACGCACAUUAUGGCAGAGGUACACUUUUUCCCUGUGGAAGUCUGGUCUCCUCAACUGAUAACAGAGGAAUUCCUCUGCAUCUGUAACCCUAGCAAUGCACAUACUCUAUGUACAAAGAAACCCAAGAAGUGCAGCAAACCAGAAAUUCUGAGGUGCUGAGCCUGGAGGAUGGGAGAAGUAGUGAAAUCACAUCCCAAGGAGAAUGAAAGGUCUAAAAGGGUGCCAUUUUGUGUCUACACAAGUCCUUAUAUUUUGGAAAAAGAAAACCUUUGUGAAAGAUUCCCCACUUUCAACUUGCAAUCGAGCUGGGAGAGCUAUGCGUCUACAUCUGAACUUAAAAAGAGAUUCUCUAGCAAACUCAGGGAAGAACAGACGAAGGCCUUAUCUACUCUUCAGAGUUAAGUUGACUUAAGUUAUGUUGAUAAUCAGGGCUUGAUGAACGGCAGCGAAAGCCGCUCGCCAGCCCCACACUGCGCAUGCACAAGACCCACAUUGCGUAUGCGCUCGCCGCAAAUGAACGGGGCACCCGGCAGAAAUCUACUCACCACGGGUGAGUAGAUUCAAUACUUUGUUGAGCCCUGUCAAUAAUCAUAAACCAUUGUAAUUAUAUCACUUGUGCAUGUGCACACAAUGCUCUUUGUGUUAGCAGGACGCAUCCACUCUUGGCACUCUAGCACCAACAGAAAGAGUGCACCAUGGGUAGCAAUCCCAUUGUGGAAAUCACUACUUUCUCCUGAUAGGAGUUCUGGGAAUGGAUUGCAGCGCAUCAUGGGAAUGGGAUAAUUGCCUCUAUGAUGUGGUUAUAUUAAUCCCGUAACUAUAGGGGCUUCCCACUGCAUUGCAUGUCAUUUUUCAACUGUCCUAAAAACUUUUCUGUGGUUUGGCUCCUGCUCUGCUCACCAGCAUUGUGAUAAGCAUUAUGAACAUACCACCAUUGUUCUUGCAGUCUUUCAUGAGCUUCAAAUUUGAACAGGAAUCUGUGCUGCCUGCUCUGCUGUGGAAAGAAAUAAUUCAGGAUUGAUAUUGACAUUCACAAAGCCACUGUGCAUGGUGGUCCAUCACAAUUGGGAUCAAGAAACAAACAUUGAGUGGUGGGAUCAGAUUGUAAUGCAGCUAUGGGAUGACAAGCAUAUCUGCGGCUGCAGAAUUUCUUAUGCCCAAAGCCAUUUCUUAUGCCCGGAGCUCGUCCUCACCAUUCAGUGCAAGGCCACCAAAAUCAGAGCACUCCUAAUGGUGGAGAAGUGAGUGGUGAUCGCUGUGUGGAAGCUAACAACUUGCAAACAAUUACAGGUGGGAGGUUGGGGUUUUGAAGCAUGUGGGGCCAUUAAGCGCCCCCUGCUACAAAGAACUGUGACUCUGGGCAAUGUGCAGGAAAUCGUGAAUAGCUUUGCAGAAAUUGGAUUUCCUAACUGUGGUGGGGCAGUGGAUGGCAAGCAUAUCCCAAUUUUGAACCUAGACAAUCUUGUCACAGAGUACAUCAACAGAAAAAGUUAUUUCUCUAAAAAACAACAAAUAGUCU